rnacentral:rRNA from 1 species
UGGAUCCAGACUUUGAUCAUGGCUCAGGAUGAACGCUUGCUACAGGCUUAACACAUGCAAGUCGAGGGGAAACGACAUCGAAAGCUUGCUUUUGAUGGGCGUCGACCGGCGCACGGGUGAGUAACGCGUAUCCAACCUGCCCAUCACUUGGGGAUAACCUUGCGAAAGUAAGACUAAUACCCAAUGAUAUCUCUAGAAGACAUCUGAAAGAGAUUAAAGAUUUAUCGGUGAUGGAUGGGGAUGCGUCUGAUUAGCUUGUUGGCGGGGUAACGGCCCACCAAGGCGACGAUCAGUAGGGGUUCUGAGAGGAAGGUCCCCCACAUUGGAACUGAGACACGGUCCAAACUCCUACGGGAGGCAGCAGUGAGGAAUAUUGGUCAAUGGACGAGAGUCUGAACCAGCCAAGUAGCGUGCAGGAUGACGGCCCUAUGGGUUGUAAACUGCUUUUAUAAGGGAAUAAAGUGAGAGUCGUGACUCUUUUUGCAUGUACCUUAUGAAUAAGGACCGGCUAAUUCCGUGCCAGCAGCCGCGGUAAUACGGAAGGUCCGGGCGUUAUCCGGAUUUAUUGGGUUUAAAGGGAGCGUAGGCCGGAGAUUAAGCGUGUUGUGAAAUGUAGACGCUCAACGUCUGCACUGCAGCGCGAACUGGUUUCCUUGAGUACGCACAAAGUGGGCGGAAUUCGUGGUGUAGCGGUGAAAUGCUUAGAUAUCACGAAGAACUCCGAUUGCGAAGGCAGCUCACUGGAGCGCAACUGACGCUGAAGCUCGAAAGUGCGGGUAUCGAACAGGAUUAGAUACCCUGGUAGUCCGCACGGUAAACGAUGGAUGCCCGCUGUUGGUCUGAAUAGGUCAGCGGCCAAGCGAAAGCAUUAAGCAUCCCACCUGGGGAGUACGCCGGCAACGGUGCAACUCAAAGGAAUUGACGGA